rnacentral:lncRNA from 1 species
AGCAUGCCACAUUUAUGGGCGAUCACUUCUAGGUUCUGCUGACUGCACUUUGCCAUGAGAACUUUGUUUCCCCUAGCGUGUACCAUGUGUCCCAAAAUGUGUAGUGUUUCAUGAAAACAAGCCCUAAAAAAGAAUGUCCACACUGUAAUGACAGAUAUUCAUGCUUAGGAACUGGUUGCCAUCUUUCACAGCAUAAGAACAUAGGAUUUUGAGUCCAAGGGGAAAGGCAGCCAGGUGAUACCCACCUCUGUUCUUAUGGCAGCCUUGGCCUUGGCCUGUGCUUUGUUUUAUGGCCCAUGUCUCAGAAGCCUCUGAUGCUAGUCAUUUCAAAACUGCUUUAUUUCAUGUCUGUGUAAAUGUAUUCGUCUCUCUGAAUAUCAGUGAUACUCUUGUCUAAAUUAUGUACAAAAGAGUAAAACCUAAUAUCAGUCCUAGGUUAUAAUGUCUUUGGAGAGGUUGGUCACCACAACAAUGAAUUAAUGGUUAAUGAGUAACUCACACUGCCUCUAUCCUUCUAUCUGUCUGGGACCCACAGCAGUUGUGGAUUGGAAGGCCUCCUCCAGUGGUGUUUCAUGACUUCGUAGUAAGUUGAAAUUGUCUUUUAAAAUUCACAAAUCCACAUUUAAUUGUUUCCAAGGAAGUCCUUAGAAAUCCGGUUGCCUGGUGGUUGCUACUAAGAAAUGGGAUUUACUGGUGCAUCUUUGAGAGAUGAAAGUCUCUCAAGAAUAAAAGGUGUUUUUUUCCAAGGGGCAUACCACACAGCAUGUGGGGGUCUUAGUUAACCUGUCUCCUCUGUGGUUUAAAUGCAGAGUCUUAACUGCUGGACUGCUGGGGAAUUCCCUACAAGGUGGUUUGGAUUUGUGGAUGAAGGACCUAGAAAGAGAAGCAUGCAAUCUGUGACUUGCGGAGGAUUCUGGUGGAGAGACGUUAUCACGUAGUUAUCACUUACCCCUCAUCCGCUGAUGGCUACCAAAACAAUGGUGAGCAAUAUACACUUUCUAAGGGAGUAACAAGCAACUCAGACAUAACCAGGGUAAAGCAGCUGAAAUCAGAGUAAAGUCUUCUGAAAUGACCAUGCAUUUCAGAAGAACAUCUUGGAAGAAUCCAAGAUGGAGAGAAAUCCUGGGUAGGACAGGAAUGUUGCAAGCAUUUCAGAGUCAGAUUUCCUCAGGCCUUUAAGGGAUCAGAGAUACUGCUGUUCAGUCACUCAGACGUGUCAUACUCUUUGCGACCCUAGGGACUGCAGCACACCCCGCUUCUCUGCCCUACACUAUCUCCCAGACUUUGCACAGUCAUGUCCAUCGAGUCAGUAAUGCCAUCCAACCAUCUCGUCCUCUGUCAUCUGCUUCUUCUCCCACCUUCAAUCUUUCCCAGCAUCAGGGUGUUUUCCUAUGAGUAAGCUCUCCGCAUCAGGUUGCCAAAGUAUUGGAGUUUCAGCUUCAGCAUCAGUCCUUC